AAAUACUACCAGUCAAGUGCUAGGACGGUGAGGAAAGAUAAGCCACGUGGGCGUCAUCAUGGUCUCACUCAACAGAAGAGGCAAGAGAUAAAGGAAGCUUUUGAACUGUUUGACACUGAUGGCUCAGGAACUAUUGAUGCUAAGGAGUUGAAUGUUGCUAUGAGGGCUCUGGGUUUUGAGAUGACCGAAGAGGUAUAAAAUCUGUCAUUUUGUUGGUUUUUUGUUGAUUACGAUUGAAAUAUUUCUUCUCUGAAUACUUGCAAAAAGAUAACCUAUGUUCCUUCCACUAUUCUUUUUCUUCUCUGGGUUCUAA